AGGGUCUUGCUCUGUCACCUAGGCUGGAGUGCAGUGGUGUGAUCACAGCUCACUGGAGCCUCGACCUCCUGGGAUCAAGCGAUUCUCUCACCUCAACCUUUGAACUUCUAGAUAAGUGGUUCUCAAAGUGUGGUCCUUCAACCAACAGCAUCAUCACCACCCAGGAACUUAUUAGAAAUGGAAGUUAUUGCACCCUGCCAAAACCAGAAACUGCGGAUGGGUCCCAGCAAUCUUUAUUUUAACGACUGUUAAAAUCAGAAUCAAGUGAUUCUGAUGCAAACUUAAGUUUGAAAACAUUGUUCUAUUAAAAGUAAUGGCAGAAACCGCAAUUACUUUUGCACCAACCUAAGAGCUCUGCACUGUUCAAUAUGGUAG
rnacentral:lncRNA from 1 species